UUGAGGAAGAUGAGCACCUCUAUGUAGAUGUUCAUGAUUAUGGAAUGUUCCUCCUUGAGCUCAUAACCGGAAAGAGUGCUCGUUGUUUCCAAGCCCAAGGCAAGGGUCAGUCAUUGGUCAACUGGGCCACUCCACUUCUAGAAAAUGGUUCACUUAGCCAACUGAUGGUCACAGAUUAACGGAUACUAGUGAUAUGGAGGUGGUUAAUCAUAUGGCAAAUGCUGCAUUGUGCUGCCUGAAGAAUGUUAAGCGUCGCAGGCUUUCUAUGAGUGAGGUUAGUCCUCGGACUAUUGAUUAGGAGGCGAUCUAUUAUCUCAGGCCCAGGACUGCAACACAGGAUGCUCUUGUAACUUCUUCCAGAAGAGAUUAUCCUUGAUACAAAGAGCAGUUUGACAUAGUUAUUGGAUUCAUUAGUGAUUUGUGUCUAUCUACUUUUUUUUAAUUCGAUUUUGACGUUGAAAUUGAAACAAUCAUCGAUCAAUAUUUAUUUUUCUGGUUUCACAUGAAUUAUAUAUUUAUAAUGCUUUCCAACAAAAUACAAGUCAUUUGCUUAAAUUUGGAAAAAAAGUAUAUAAUAUUUUGGAUGCAUACAACAUCACACUCACACGUGAUCAAAAGGAUCUUGAUCUCUUGUGAAACCCCCCUACAUGUUGUAAGUGAUGCAUCCAAGACACUUGAUACCGCUCCUACAUAGAGAACUUUCUGUUUUGUCUCCUACAUAGAGAACUUUUUGUUUGGUGUAGCUCAUGUUUUUGAAAUUCUUGUUACACUUGCACGAUCUUUAUUGCACACACUUUGAAUUUGUGUUUUGAAAACACAAUUUCUGUCCACAUGGUAGCGUUUGGUGUGUGUGUAAUAAGGAUUAAGGAGAGUAAGAAAAUCAUUACUUUUUAGCUUAUUCAAUUUACCAACUUAUUUUUG